GGCUCAAUUUUACUCACUACAUAUUCGUAAUUUAGAUCGACGAACACCAUGUGUAAAAUAUAUCUCAGCCGAAUGAAUAUAUGUAUAUUAUAUAUGUAUGUAUGCAUGUAUGUAUGUAUGCAUGGAUAUAUGCAAUGUAUGUAUAUAUAUAU